AAGGUUAAGCCUCACGGUUCAUUAGUACCGGUUAGCUCAACGCAUCGCUGCGCUUACACACCCGGCCUAUCAACGUCGUCGUCUUCAACGUUCCUUCAGGACUCUCAAGGAGUCAGGGAGAACUCAUCUCGGGGCAAGUUUCGUGCUUAGAUGCUUUCAGCACUUAUCUCUUCCGCAUUUAGCUACCGGGCAGUGCCAUUGGCAUGACAACCCGAACACCAGUGAUGCGUCCACUCCGGUCCUCUCGUACUAGGAGCAGCCCCCCUCAGUUCUCCAGCGCCCACGGCAGAUAGGGACCGAACUGUCUCACGACGUUCUAAACCCAGCUCGCGUACCACUUUAAAUGGCGAACAGCCAUACCCUUGGGACCUACUUCAGCCCCAGGAUGUGAUGAGCCGACAUCGAGGUGCCAAACACCGCCGUCGAUAUGAACUCUUGGGCGGUAUCAGCCUGUUAUCCCCGGAGUACCUUUUAUCCGUUGAGCGAUGGCCCUUCCAUUCAGAACCACCGGAUCACUAUGACCUGCUUUCGCACCUGCUCGCGCCGUCACGCUCGCAGUCAAGCUGGCUUAUGCCAUUGCACUAACCUCCUGAUGUCCGACCAGGAUUAGCCAACCUUCGUGCUCCUCCGUUACUCUUUAGGAGGAGACCGCCCCAGUCAAACUACCCACCAGACACUGUCCGCAACCCGGAUUACGGGUCAACGUUAGAACAUCAAACAUUAAAGGGUGGUAUUUCAAGGUCGGCUCCAUGCAGACUGGCGUCCACACUUCAAAGCCUCCCACCUAUCCUACACAUCAAGGCUCAAUGUUCAGUGUCAAGCUAUAGUAAAGGUUCACGGGGUCUUUCCGUCUUGCCGCGGGUACACUGCAUCUUCACAGCGAGUUCAAUUUCACUGAGUCUCGGGUGGAGACAGCCUGGCCAUCAUUACGCCAUUCGUGCAGGUCGGAACUUACCCGACAAGGAAUUUCGCUACCUUAGGACCGUUAUAGUUACGGCCGCCGUUUACCGGGGCUUCGAUCAAGAGCUUCGCGUUACCGCUAACCCCAUCAAUUAACCUUCCGGCACCGGGCAGGCGUCACACCGUAUACGUCCACUUUCGUGUUUGCACAGUGCUGUGUUUUUAAUAAACAGUUGCAGCCAGCUGGUAUCUUCGACUGAUUUCAGCUCCACGAGCAAGUCGCUUCACCUACAUAUCAGCGUGCCUUCUCCCGAAGUUACGGCACCAUUUUGCCUAGUUCCUUCACCCGAGUUCUCUCAAGCGCCUUGGUAUUCUCUACCUGACCACCUGUGUCGGUUUGGGGUACGAUUUGAUGUUACCUGAUGCUUAGAGGCUUUUCCUGGAAGCAGGGCAUUUGUUGCUUCAGCACCGUAGUGCCUCGUCAUCACGCCUCAGCCUUGAUUUUCCGGAUUUGCCUGGAAAACCAGCCUACACGCUUAAACCGGGACAACCGUCGCCCGGCCAACAUAGCCUUCUCCGUCCCCCUUCGCAGUAACACCAAGUACAGGAAUAUUAACCUGUUUCCCAUCGACUACGCCUUUCGGCCUCGCCUUAGGGGUCGACUCACCCUGCCCCGAUUAACGUUGGACAGGAACCCUUGGUCUUCCGGCGAGCGGGCUUUUCACCCGCUUUAUCGUUACUUAUGUCAGCAUUCGCACUUCUGAUACCUCCAGCAUACCUCACAGUACACCUUCACAGGCUUACAGAACGCUCCCCUACCCAACAACGCAUAAGCGUCGCUGCCGCAGCUUCGGUGCAUGGUUUAGCCCCGUUACAUCUUCCGCGCAGGCCGACUCGACCAGUGAGCUAUUACGCUUUCUUUAAAUGAUGGCUGCUUCUAAGCCAACAUCCUGGCUGUCUGGGCCUUCCCACAUCGUUUCCCACUUAACCAUGACUUUGGGACCUUAGCUGGCGGUCUGGGUUGUUUCCCUCUUCACGACGGACGUUAGCACCCGCCGUGUGUCUCCCGUGAUAACAUUCUCCGGUAUUCGCAGUUUGCAUCGGGUUGGUAAGUCGGGAUGACCCCCUUGCCGAAACAGUGCUCUACCCCCGGAGAUGAAUUCACGAGGCGCUACCUAAAUAGCUUUCGGGGAGAACCAGCUAUCUCCCGGUUUGAUUGGCCUUUCACCCCCAGCCACAAGUCAUCCGCUAAUUUUUCAACAUUAGUCGGUUCGGUCCUCCAGUUAGUGUUACCCAACCUUCAACCUGCCCAUGGCUAGAUCACCGGGUUUCGGGUCUAUACCCUGCAACUUAACGCCCAGUUAAGACUCGGUUUCCCUUCGGCUCCCCUAUUCGGUUAACCUUGCUACAGAAUAUAAGUCGCUGACCCAUUAUACAAAAGGUACGCAGUCACCCCAUAAAGAGGCUCCCACUGCUUGUACGUACACGGUUUCAGGUUCUUUUUCACUCCCCUCGCCGGGGUUCUUUUCGCCUUUCCCUCACGGUACUGGUUCACUAUCGGUCAGUCAGGAGUAUUUAGCCUUGGAGGAUGGUCCCCCCAUAUUCAGACAGGAUACCACGUGUCCCGCCCUACUCAUCGAGCUCACAGCAUGUGCAUUUUUGUGUACGGGGCUGUCACCCUGUAUCGCGCGCCUUUCCAGACGCUUCCACUAACACACACACUGAUUCAGGCUCUGGGCUGCUCCCCGUUCGCUCGCCGCUACUGGGGGAAUCUCGGUUGAUUUCUUUUCCUCGGGGUACUUAGAUGUUUCAGUUCCCCCGGUUCGCCUCAUUAACCUAUGGAUUCAGUUAAUGAUAGUGUGUCGAAACACACUGGGUUUCCCCAUUCGGAAAUCGCCGGUUAUAACGGUUCAUAUCACCUUACCGACGCUUAUCGCAGAUUAGCACGUCCUUCAUCGCCUCUGACUGCCAGGGCAUCCACCGUGUACGCUUAGUCGCUUAA
rnacentral:rRNA from 1 species